rnacentral:lncRNA from 1 species
UUUAACAGCAGGAAAAUCUCCUACCCUGCACAAAACUCCCUUUGAGCAUUCAUAAUAAUCAUCCUCACUGUACUGAACACCAAGCAGGAGCUUGUAACAAUAGUAGCUAUAGCUCAAGUACUUUAGCCAUACUAUAAAGGUAGGGAUCUGCUGAACAUAGUAUCCUCCUGCAAUUAGGAAAACCAGAGUCGUAACUGAAGCUAAUGUCGUGGCUUGUUUUAUAUCCAUUAGAAUAGCACCAAUAGCUAAUCCAAGACUUUGUGAGACAAGAACAUUGUAGAGAAUCACAAGUAGGGAAAGGAUGAAAGUAAUUGGAUCAGCCUUAAGCCCUCCCAUCCAGUAGAUUAUGAAGACAAAUGCAGUUGGGAGUGCAAGCUCCAAUGGCAGGUCUCCAAAUGUUCGGGCUAGGAAAUAGGAUGAAAGGUGAUACAUUCCAGAUGCUCUUUCUUUUAUCAACAUGCUUCUUUCUUGUGGAAAUGUAAACACUGCAUUGUACAGUGGGUAAAAUCCCCAAAACACUGAGAAGAAGAAGAGCAAUGCAAUCUGCAGAGAAAAAGAAAAAGCUCAUUAUUUAAAUUGGGAAAGCAACUUGAAUUUUGAAUUGAUGAUUUAGUUUCUAGAUUAGUAUCCUUGCGAUAAACUAAAAGACUAGUUCUUACGCGGUCUUGAAUGUGAGAAGUUGGUGUAUGCCACCAAAGGAGUCCGCCAAGUACAGCGACGCUGAUUACUUGAAAAAUUCUUAACCUGUUGAAAGAUUCAUAUCUUCUUUCCCUCAAUCCUCGUUGAAAUAGCACUUUGAACUGAUACCACCAGCUUGUACACCAUUGUUCUGCCUUAGUAUCAAGUCCUGAUAGUUACCAGUAUCAGUACUCAGUGAAAAAAAAGUACAGGACUUUGAUUGUGAUUAUAACAGAUGAGAGGGAUACAUAGUGUAUAUAUAUACACACACACGCACACAUACACAUACUUGUAGAGGCUUCUUUUGUAUAGCUCACAUCCAAACUGCAAAGCUCAGCUUUUAGUCUUGUGGCAAUUUUCUUCUCAUAACCAGAAAGAAGAGCUUCCUGCACCAACUUCUGUUCUUGUUCCAUGUUCUCUCCUUGCUCAGUCACAUGUUUAGAAUCAGGGGCAAUGCCUGGAAUUUUUCCAAUUUCAAACAGUUAUCAGGAUAAUAUACUUUUUUGUUCUAAUAAACUAUAUAAAUAUAGAACAUAUGUAUUUUUGUGUAUAUAAACAGUUGUGUAUAAAACGUGAACUUUUUCUUGAAGGUUUGUCUUAAUGAGAAAUAGGGACGAAUAUAAUUUUCCAAAGCAAUUACCGUACAAGUGUUAUUAUUAUUAUUAUUAUUAUUAUUAUAUACAUGUUUUUUUUUCUUUUCUUGGGGAUGGGUGCAUGGUGGAAUGGAGUGGGGUUGGUUUACUCCAUUUCAUGAAAGGUGCAAGUUUAAGAGCGCACCACCUUCAGUGGGCCACCUGACAUCCCACUCUUAUGAAAAUGAUUCAAAAUGAGAGGAUGAACGAGUGUCCAUCUCACAGUGCAGAAAGCUGAAUUUUAUUUUUAACAUUUCUCUCUCCUUAAAAAAAUUCACAAGUACAAAAAGCAGUAAAUGAUGGAGAAAAUUAUGAACAGAAAGGAAGGAAGCUCUAUAGACUGAAAAUUAAACAUUAUAUAUAAAGAGAGAGAGAAUUUGAAAUUACCAUUCGCGAGAUCAAGCAAUAAGUCAGCUGGAUUGAUUGUCAUAGAUGUAUAGAAGCCAAUAGAAGAAAAAUAAUCCAAGGCUGAAGACGCAGGACCAUAAUAAAUGGGGCUGCCUUCUGAUAGCAAGACAACCUUAUCAAACAUGUGGUAAAGUCUACUUGAGGGCUGGUGAAUGGUAGUAACAACAGUUCUUCCACCACUAGCAAGCCGUUUGAUUGUAGUAAUAAUCCUUUGAGCAGUGGUUGAGUCCAGACCUGAAGUAGGUUCAUCUAGCAGUAGCAAGCUUGGAUUGAUUAACAUUUCUUGACCUAUACUUACCCUUUUCUUCUCCCCUCCUGAUAUCCCUCUAAAGAGUGGCCCUCCUAUCAUACUAUUUUGACACCUUGUCAAUCCCAGUUCAGCUAUAAUACGCUCCACAUGCCUUAAUUUCUCUUCAUUGGUUAAGGUUUUAGGUAGCCUUAGCAACGCAGUAAAUACAAGAGUUUCAGUUACAGUGAGAUGAGGGUAUAAUACAUCAUCCUGAGCAACGAAUCCUGUUCGACGCUUGAUGGUGCCGGAGAAAGGUUGGCCAUUGUAUGUCACCUUACCAGACAACUUGCCAUUAAUACGGCCUCCUAGAGCAGUAAGAAGGGUAGUUUUUCCACUUCCAGAUGGUCCAAGCAUUGCUAGGAUCUCACCAGGGCAAACCAUACCAGUUAUCCCAUUUAAUAUAGUCUUUUCUUUUGUACCCCAUGUACCACCCCAACAGACUCCUUUCUGCUCCAGUUUAACUUUGUACACAACUUCCUCAAACUGAAAAUUAAGAAAAUUCAAGUUGAAAAAAAAAAUUAGUAUAAUAAAAAUGUUGAUUAAUUAGUCUAAUCAAGAACUUGUAAAAAUAUUAUGUUAGAAUAUCAUAUGUGCUAGUAGUUGAGAAAAGAGACCUUCAAAGUUAUAGGAUAUAUUGAGAGUCGGAGGACAGACUGUGAAUUGGGUUGUACGGGGUAGGCAAGAACAGCUCCAUCAUUAGGUUCAGACAUAUUUCUCUGCCUAGCUGAUUGUACUUGCUGCCACUGGAACACAGUUUGCACUAUAUAUGCACUAUAUACGUUCUUGGUGGUGGUGGUGGUGGUGGAGGAGGAGGAAAAGGAGAAGAAGAAGAUUGAGAGGUCUAUGUCUGGUAUGUACAUUGUUUCUUGUCUUCUUCUAUUUUAUUUGAAAAAUAUGAUGUGGGUUUUGCACUAUCUCAUCUCAACAUAUCUAAAUAAUGAAACUGAUUUUUAGGUGCCAUUUGGUGUUGUUGAAUGACUCCACUCUCCAACCAUAUCCCCAAAUUGUUUGACUCAUCUUUGCUUGUCCACUCCUUGUGGGCCUCUUCUCCUUAUUGUGUUGGAUUUUGCUUUUGCAACUUGUUAUAUAAUUAGGAUUGCAACUUUAGGGUCGUAAAUGAGCUGAGUUGUCCUGAUUAAUUUUUAAACGAGAUAACCUAUAACCUAUGAAUCGAGUUAUUUUAAUGAAUGAAUUGAGCUGGAUCGCGGAUAAUCCGAUCCAAGAAAAUGGUACUUUUAUAGAUAAGUGAAUAAUGUUAUAGUUUACUUAUUAACCAUCUCAAAUUACAUUCUCUCUUCUUUUUCCUUUUGUAUGUUGAUUCACUUGUUCCAGCUCCAUAAAGAAUUGGGUCUGAGUCAAACUAUAUAAAGGAGAGACAGAGUUUCCUUAAGUUGCAAAUUACUUUAUUAUGCAAUAUUUAUUGUUGUAAUAGCUUUUGAAUAGGAUUUCUUGUUAAUAAUUCUUUUCUCAAACAUGUGUAUUAAUUUGAUGAUUGUCUCACUUUUGACCAUAACAUGUCCAAAUUUAACUCUCUCCAUUCAUUAUUUUUAACGAAUAAUGAACUAAAAGUAAAAAAGUGACAAACAAGGCUUAUUAUUCCUUUACUGUUUGUGAUCUUUCCUGUCUAUCACUAUCAGUUAUUCCCUACUUGUUCAUUUGUUUCUGCAGGAAGCCAUUCAUUAAACAAAGGCAAUCACUUAUGGAAAGCCCGACAAAGAACCAAAAAUCAAUUCCAUAUAGCAGUUUUGGUUAGUGGACUAUAAGGUAUGGUCAUUUUCUUUUUUCUUUGCUGCAACAGGAAAUGCAGAUGCUCUUUUCCUUUCCUUUAAUAGGGUAAUAGAUAUAUUUGGUUUAUUGAGAAAAUUAAAACUUGGUGAGUUAGCAUCAUAUCUAAAAAGUGUAACAAACAACAAGUCAAUACAUCAACUCAGAGGUGAAGUCGAUAAAACUCUUACAACCUUAUAAUAUAUUCCCUUGUAAGUCUAACAUUAUUAAUUAAUUAUUCCUGGCGCGGUUGAAGAAGGAAAAAACUCUUCAAACUGUCUAUUAUGUUUCUUGAAAAUGGAUCUCUCUGCUAAUGACUUUACCUCAAUUGCACUCUAUGCAGUGCUAAAUAUGCAACGAGUCGAUAACCCACCAACAUUAGAGCCAUAAUGCAUACAUCAACCCACAAAUGGUUCAAACCCAUUGAUUUAACAGCAGGAAAAUCUCCUACCCUGCACAAAACUCCCUUUGAGCACUCAUAAUAAUCAUCCUCACUGUACUGAACACCAAGCAGGAGCUUGUAACAAUAGUAGCUAUAGCUCAAGUACUUUAGCCAUACUAUAAAGGUAGGGAUCUGCUGAACAUAGUAUCCUCCUGCAAUUAGGAAAACCAGAGUCGUAACUGAAGCUAAUGUCGUGGCUUGUUUUAUAUCCAUUAGAAUAGCACCAAUAGCUAAUCCAAGACUUUGUGAGACAAGAACAUUGUAGAGAACCACAAGUAGGGAAAGGAUGAAAGUAAUUGGAUCAGCCUUAAGCCCUCCCAUCCAGUAGAUUAUGAAGACAAAUGCAGUUGGGAGUGCAAGCUCCAAUGGCAG